rnacentral:rRNA from 1 species
GAUGAACGCUGGCGGCGUGCCUAAUACAUGCAAGUCGAGCGAACGGACGAGAAGCUUGCUUCUCUGAUGUUAGCGGCGGACGGGUGAGUAACACGUGGAUAACCUACCUAUAAGACUGGGAUAACUUCGGGAAACCGGAGCUAAUACCGGAUAAUAUUUUGAACCGCAUGGUUCAAAAGUGAAAUACGGUCUUGCUGUCACUUAUAGAUGGAUCCCCGCUGCAUUAGCUAGUUGGUAAGGUAACGGCUUACCAAGGCAACGAUGCAUAGCCGACCUGAGAGGGUGAUCGGCCACCCGGGAACUGAGCCACGGUCCAGACUCCUACGGGAGGCAGCAGUAGGGAAUCUUCCGCAAUGGGCGAAAGCCUGACGGAGCAACGCCGCGUGAGUGAUGAAGGUCUUCGGAUCGUAAAACUCUGUUAUUAGGGAAGAACAUAUGUGUAAGUAACUGUGCACAUCUUGACGGUACCUAAUCAGAAAGCCACGGCUAACUACGUG